rnacentral:misc_RNA from 1 species
UCAAUUUCACCUGUGCACCUUUUUUAUACUUGCAAUAAACCUUCCAAACAUAGCGUGUCCAUGGCUUUUCUAGAGAAUUCAGAUAACAAGAUUAUUAACAUAAGGGAAUCAACUCUUGAUUGACCAACUCUAAGACGAAAGGGAACUAGGGAUGGAAAAUUAAAUAAGACCUUAAAUAAUUAUUAAAAGGGGAAAGUGAUAAAGGAAACAUAUGCCAUUAAACAAAUAAUAGUAAAGACAUGCCAUUGCAACAUAAGAUAAGUGUUGUGCACUGCGAAAGCGUGUAAACUGCAAAGA